rnacentral:rRNA from 1 species
GAUGAACGCUGGCGGCGUGCCUAAUACAUGCAAGUCGAGCGAACAGACGAGGAGCUUGCUCCUCUGACGUUAGCGGCGGACGGGUGAGUAACACGUGGAUAACCUACCUAUAAGACUGGGAUAACUUCGGGAAACCGGAGCUAAUACCGGAUAAUAUAUUGCACCGCAUGGUUCAAUAGUGAAAGACGGUUUUGCUGUCACUUAUCGAUGGAUCCGCGCCGCAUUAGCUAGUUGGUAAGGUAACGGCUUACCAAGGCAACGAUGCGUAGCCGACCUGAGAGGGGGAUCGGCCACACUGGAGCUGAGACACGGUCCAGACUCCUACGGGAGGCAGCAGUAGGGAAUCUUCCGCAAUGGGCGAAAGCCUGACGGAGCAACGCCGCGUGAGUGAUGAAGGUCUUCGGAUCGUAAAACUCUGUUAUUAGGGAAGAACAAAUGUGUAAGUAACUAUGCACGUCUUGACGGUACCUAAUCAGAAAGCCACGGCUAACUACGUG